AUACGUAGGUGGCGAGCGUUGUCCGGAUUUACUGGGUGUAAAGGGCGUGCAGCCGGGUCGGCAAGUCAGAUGUGAAAUGCAUGGGCUUAACCCAUGAACUGCAUUUGAAACUGUCGAUCUUGUGUGCCGGAGAGGUAAUCGGAAUUCCUUGUGUAGCGGUGAAAUGCGUAGAUAUAAGGAAGAACACCAGUGGCGAAGGCGGAUUACUGGACGGUAACUGACGGUGAGGCGCGAAAGCGUGGGGAGCAAACAGGAUUAGAGACCCUGGUAGUCCACGCUGUAAACGAUCGAUACUAGGUGUGCGGGGACUGACCCCCCGCGUGCCGCAGUUAACACAAUAAGUAUCGCACCUGGGGAGUACGAUCGCAAGGUUGAAACUCAAAGGAAUUGACGGGG
rnacentral:rRNA from 1 species